AGUGAACGCUGGCGGUAGGCCUAACACAUGCAAGUCGAACGGCAGCACAGUAAGAGCUUGCUCUUACGGGUGGCGAGUGGCGGACGGGUGAGGAAUACAUCGGAAUCUACUUUUUCGUGGGGGAUAACGUAGGGAAACUUACGCUAAUACCGCAUACGACCUACGGGUGAAAGCAGGGGAUCUUCGGACCUUGCGCUAUUGAAUGAGCCGAUGUCGGAUUAGCUAGUUGGCGGGGUAAAGGCCCACCAAGGCGACGAUCCGUAGCUGGUCUGAGAGGAUGAUCAGCAACACUGGAACUGAGACACGGUCCAGACUCCUACGGGAGGCAGCAGUGGGGAAUAUUGGACAAUGGGCGCAAGCCUGAUCCAGCCAUACCGCGUGGGUGAAGAAGGCCUUCGGGUUGUAAAGCCCUUUUGUUGGGAAAGAAAAGCAGCAGGUUAAUACCCCGCUGUUCUGACGGUACACAAAGAAUAAGCACCGGCUAACUUCGUG
rnacentral:rRNA from 1 species